rnacentral:rRNA from 1 species
GAUGAACGCUGGCGGUGUGCCUAAUACAUGCAAGUCGAACGAAGUCUUCGGACUUAGUGGCGAACGGGUGAGUAACACGUUGGUACCUACCCUCUAGUGGGGAAGUAACUGCCCGAAACGGGUAGGGCUAAUACCGCAUAAUACCGCAAGGUUAAAGACAGUAAUGCGCUAGAGGAGGGGCCUGCGUCUGAUUAGCUAGUUGGUUGGGUAAUGGCUGACCAAGGCUGUGAUCGGUAGCNGGUCUGAGAGGAUGAUCAGCCACACUGGGACUGAGACACGGCCCAGACUCCUACGGGAGGCAGCAGUGGGGAAUAUUGGACAAUGGGCGCAAGCCUGAUCCAGCAAUGCCGCGUGGAUGAAGAAGGUUUUC